rnacentral:rRNA from 1 species
CCUACGGGUGGCUGCAGUGAGGAAUAUUGGUCAAUGGCCGGAAGGCUGAACCAGCCAAGCCGCGUGAAGGACGAAGGUUCCAAGCAUUGUAAACUUCUUUUGUCAGGGGACAAAAUCAGGCUCGAGAGCCUGUCCGAGGGUACUUGACGAAUAAGCAUCGGCUAACUCCGUGCCAGCAGCCGCGGUAAUACGGAGGAUGCGAGCGUUAUCCGGAUUUAUUGGGUUUAAAGGGUGCGUAGGCGGACGGUUAAGUUAGCGGUAAAAGCCCGGGGCUCAACCCCGGCGAGCCGUUGAUACUGGUUGGCUAGAGAGGAGGUGAGGUAUGCGGAAUGCGCAGUGUAGCGGUGAAAUGCUUAGAGAUUGCGCAGAACACCGAUUGCGAAGGCAGCAUACCGGCGGAGAUCUGACGCUGAGGCACGAAAGCGUGGGUAGCGAACAGGAUUAGAUACCCCUGUAGUC